rnacentral:rRNA from 1 species
CGGGACGGGUGAGUAACACGUGGAUAACCUACCUAUAAGACUGGGAUAACUUCUGGAAACCGGAGCUAAUACCGGAUAAUAUAUUGAACCGCAUGGUUCAAUAGUGAAAGACGGUUUUGCUGUCACUUAUAGAUGGAUCCGCGCCGCAUUAGCUAGUUGGUAAGGUAACGGCUUACCAAGGCAACGAUGCGUAGCCGACCUGAGAGGGUGAUCGGCCACACUGGAACUGAGACACGGUCCAGACUCCUACGGGAGGCAGCAGGG